ensembl:lncRNA
UUUUUUUUUUGUUUUUUUUUUUUUUUAGUUUGAAAGGUUAGAAAAUGCUGUGGAGAUUAAUAACAUCACUGUUAUUAAUUAUAACCCACCAAAAUACAUAUUUCUACAAUAAGGAGGGUGUAUUCUCAGUGGGAGAUUAUUCUGGAGAAGAGAAAUUACUUAGGAAAUAACCAUGCCUGGGUCAAUUGACAGAAAGCAAUUAGAGCUUUUUCCCAGCAUGUAGGAAACAGGCAAUAGUAUAAUUGACUCAUUGUACUUUUUGAAAUAAACCAGUGAAAUAAUGCACACAAAACAAAACUGUGAGAACUUGUGUCAAAUUAGUCAAAUCCUGGAAAACAAUUAGAGCAAAGAAAUACAUCAAGACUGAGGUAGGUACAAAGACCCUGACAUCAGUAGCAGAUUAGAAAACUAGACUGACAGACCAGUUAUAAAUAAUGAUGCAAAUGUACUUACCAUACAUAGCAUGUCAAAAGUUUUCACCUUUUGAUCCCACCCUUAGGUGUUACAUCUCUGUUUACUCUAGGCAUGUUACACGCAUGAGGGAAGUGACACAGAUAUAAACAGUCUACACAUGUAGGCCAUGUGAUACAAGCACCCCUGCAGUAGAAAUAGAAUAUAAUUUCUAAACAGCGUUUCGUUCUGGACCAAAAAUAAAGCUCCCAGGGAGAGGCUGUGGGGUGCUGAGAAUCUUUUUAGAGUUCACAGACAGUCUGGAAUCCAUAAUCCAUCUUUUCAGUGUAAGUUCAUAGAGCUAGCAAAAUAGUGAAUGUAAAUUGAGGUGUUAUUCCACCAGUUUUUGUUGGCAGGCCAGUGGCACCUGCCCUGGAAAGUCAGAAGGUGAGCGCAUGAUUUAAUCUGGAAAAGGUGUCAGUCAAACCAGAAUUUUUUUCCUUACCACAACUAUUUUAUGCCCAUGCUCAACCAGAAAUAAAAAUUGAGAGAAAAAGUAAAGGAAGAAAACACAAUGUGACUCGGUUUGCAGCCACUGCAGUUUAAUCACAGUGUAUCCUUCAUGGUUUGUGGCAUUUAAUAUGUUUCUAGGGCUUCGAUGGUGGCUUUUAAAAUAAUAGUACAAUUAAAUUAAAGUGUAUAGUUCUACUGACUGAUCUAUGCUUCUUCUGUACUUUAUAUUUCCUGCAAAAUUUUCAGGCUGCAAUAAAAAUGCAUUUUUGUCACUAGUGGAAAUAAGUGACGUUAAAUAUUGUCUGGAACAGGAGACCAGUGAUUUUCAAUUAACAUUAAGUAGGAAACUGUUUAAUAUCAAUUGUUAUUAAAUGGGCAAAUUAGCAUUAAAUUAAAGCUAAUAGGAUAGGCAAAGUUUUCCAUUAAGCAAGCCAAUAUUAAGUGCAUUCGAUCUUUUAUGGUAUCCACUAUUCUGUUUCCUCAGCUGAAAGAUGUUUCUUGAUAAAUAGGCAUUUAUCCAGUUUAUGCCCCGUCAGCUACCAACUUUAUCUGAUCUCUAUUAUAAAAAUUCAGUGGAUAAGGCAUUCUUGCAAAUUUGAUGGACAUUAAUUCUGUGGCCUCUUCUUGAACUUCCUCUUUGAGCUUCAUCUCACCAUUAACUACUUUUUGAUGUUCCACAAUGAGGAACAACGAAAUCAUCAUCUUGGAUGCUUCUCCAGUUUAGAUGAGGCCAACUGUUGAUAUCAAUGAAACAGGACUGCAUAGAGAAGAAACAAAUGCAGAAAAAGGCUUGAUAUUUAAAAAAUUCUUAGAACAUAAUCCUCAUUAUAGGAACUGGUAGCUUCUAAGAUUCAGGAAUAAUUUUUUAAAAUGAGCAGGGUGUGAAUCAAAAAAUGGUCAUUUCAGGAUUUUUAUUUACUUUCUACCAUCUGAACAAUAAAUAGAUGUUGAGUUGUGUGGUGGGACGGUACAUGCCAUGAGUUUUACUCAAACAGAAAACCUAGGAGGACUGUAUGUGCUAGACCAUAUCUGAAACCUACAGAUUUGGAAAGAGAUGAGAGAGUACCAGACAAGUCUGUACCUCUGAGAUUCUGAAGCUCCUCUGAAAACUUGUUUGUUGGAUAUGUUAGGAUACAGCCUGAAAUCUGAAUUAUUCAUAACCAAAAAGCCAUGGAUUUUUUUUGUCCACUAGAUGGGCCUUAAGUCAUAGAGUGAACAAGACUUCUUGGAACUCUGACUCCCAUCUCCUGUUGUCACAGAGUUCAUGUUCUUAAACUCCUUUAACAGCUUUAUGAAACUAACUUGAAAGUUAGCAUGGCAGUGUCACAAAAGAAGCAGGUGUGUGUAGCUUCUUGAGUUAAGAAUUGAAACAUCUUCCCAGAAGAGGACCAGAGACAUAGGUGGGGUAUUAAUUAAAUCAAAGUAUAAAUAUACUUACAUUUUAAAAGAAAGUUUUCCUUUUUCUCACCUAAAGAUGGGGUGUUCCAUAGCCUAAAAUGUAUUUUUCAGUGAGUUUCUGAAAGCAUUCUGAAAUGUUCUCACAUAGGUGAGCUGGUUUACCUGCAGUAAGAAGUAAUUCUUCCCACCUAAACGUACAAACAUCUAGUCUUGCUGAAUUGUCUCUGGAGAGAAAACAGAACUGCAUUAUAGAGGAAUUUUGUGCAAAACAACUCGUCCUGUGUUUGUGAAGUGGCAGCAUGUUAGAAAACUGGUGCGACAGUUUGAUGGGUUUCCAUGGAAACUGCUAGACUUGAAUGCAUGGGUGCACAAGCAAGUUUGCCAGGUGCCCAGGAUUGGUUCAGAGGAAGGAAAAAUUACACUUCCAUGACAGCCAUAGAUUAGCUGAGCAAGUCUCUUUCCAAAGUGAUGUACUUGCAAAAAUAGAUAAGCGCCAACCAGACUAAAAUUUGUUUGUGCUUUAUACAGCAAACUGUGUAAUUUGAUCCCCCCUUGAAAAUGGCCAGAUUGCAGUUUCUGCCCAUUGAGUGUUUCACCCAAGAGGUUAUGGUCUUCUGCUGCAAGGUAAUUUUAUGGGGGGAAAAAAAAAGUUAAUAACCCAGCAUGUAGAAUGAAGAAACCAAAAUUGAAAUGGAAGAAUUAUUCCCUCAAAGAUAGCCACACAAGCAUUUCUGACACCAGUGAGAUAUGUAAUAGAAUAAACCAAAAAUAGGGUUUAUUUGAUAAUCCAUUACAUUCAUUGCCCUUGUCUGCUGGGCUGUUUGUAAAAAUCUGAACAUAACCAGGCCAUCAGCUACUGCAAAUCUCUAUUGAUUUGAUGAAAUGAGUGUAAUACUGAAAGCUUCUUUAAGCUGGAGCUGUAGCAGAGUAUUCUUUAAUGGGCAGAUACAGGUUAGGACCAGGGGGGAAAGGCUGAAUUGUACCUGGUGGCUCCUCUGUGCUUUCUCAUUGUGAGACUGCUGGCUUUUUCAUUUACUCUCUGAGCACAACUUUGGACUAAACAAUGCAAAUACCAGAAUGUCACUGUCACACCAUGAGAGAAAAGUGAUGAACAGUUCAGGAGAUAAUGACAAGGAGCCUUAGACCCCUGAAAAAUUAUGUAGGAAUAUGCUUUGGGAUCCAAAAGGUAGGAGCCUUUCAUAUGCCUCUUUAAAAAGAUUAGUGGUAUCUGAACAAAAUCCCACAGAAAUCAAUUCACCAGUUUCAGUUGACAAGGAAUUUAGUUUUAUAUACAGGGCAAUACUCAGGGAGGAGAAAAAUGGGCUGUAUAGAAUACACGUAAGAGGAAUUAUAGAGAUCUUGAAGCAUCUGGACUAAGUCCAAAGAACGCAGUGCAAGGGUAAAAACUCAGAUGUUUUGCUGUUUUGCCUGGAACCAUGAGUUUCUUACACAGCUGGAAGUGAAAACCUUGCCAGUACAAAAGAUUAUUCUAGUACUCAGAGUUUCUGAGCAAACCAACUUUUCAACAGACUGCCUUCAGGUAUUGUGCUCUGGGAAAUAGCUCUUGUGUGUCCACAAACCUGGAGGAUGUAAUUACAUUCUCUGAAGGAAGUCUACACCCAGGGCAGUUACAAAGGGCAACAAAGACAACUCUGUAACUUACUGAGCCCAAAGAAACCUUACAACUACUUAGGCUUAUUCCUACAGGAGCCAGGAGAGCCUAGUAAGUCACCAAGGCGUCCAUCAAGGCAUCACUGAACAAAAGCUAAGGACUUUUAUGAAUGGACCAUCUGGGCUCUGUCGUUGCCCAGAAGGGCUACUCUUACACAGCUGUUAGAUAAUGAGAUCAGAUUUUGGAUCACUAUAACUGUCAAUUAAAGCCUCACCUAUAACAAAUCCAACAAUUUAAAACAAUUUUUUAAUAGAUCAUUAGGCAUAUACAUAAAAUGGCUUUGUACCCUCCUCAGCUAGUGAAGUAGUAGUAGUAGAAUAGUCAGUGAAGACUAUUCUUCAGCCAUUUAGAUUAUUCAUUACACUCAAAUUCAGAUGUCUAAAGUACUACCUGUAUGGAUUUACCUGUGGUUUCAAUGUCUGAACUCCCAGCACAAUCACUGGAGGUCAUUUCCAUUUGUCCACACACUCUGUUUCAGUUAUCCUAUGGUACCUUUCCCAGCUUUCAUUUAUAUGCUGAAUAGCACAGGGCUCCUUUGUGUCAUGUGCUAUACCUGCCAGUGCAAUUCAGGUACCUUAAAAGAAUUUAUUCUGGUUAGAUAUUUAUAAAAAAGCUAAAUAAAACCCUGAUUCUCCUCUGAUUAGGAUGGAUACUCAUUCACCCAACUCGCACAAGAUCUCUCUUUGAUAUUCCUAGUGCAGAUGUCUACGAUCUGGAGCUGAAUACCAUCCUCACUUCCAGCCUCUCUUUCUAAAGCAUGCAUAAUACUUAUGGGUCUUUAUUCUUGGCCACACACCAAAUGGUAUCUCCAGCAUCAAGUAUUCAUGUCAAAAAUAAGUAAUUGUUUAAUGAAAAAAAGUAUUCCACACAGAAGUCUCCUAAUUUUAUAUGCAUAUGGCUUUAUACCGAUUCAAUGAUAACUGUAUAAAAAGACCAGGAGCAGAAAGAUUAACAGCAAUGCCCAAUGGAAGCCUCUGUCCAAACAUUUAUUUAUUUUUUUUUUAAUCUUUACUUGCUAUUUAAAGCACAAUUUCUUUUCAGAACCUGUGGGUCUUUCAUAAAGAAGUGAGUUACCAUAAAGAAGUGGGUAACUGCAUCUACUUUAAAUGUUGAUCUCAGCCUUUCUGAAGGGCCCAGCCAGGAGUCCUUCAGAGGGGUGGCUGCUGAGAUACACUAGUGCUGCUGCCCAUGGGCCACUGGUGUUUUGGGAGCAGAGACAUGAAUGAGUGUUAUCACCACACAGAGGCAGCUGGCAGAGGUACAAAGCAGCUUGUGAGCCCCAUACUUUGUCCAGUGGGCUGAAAACAGGACAAUGGAAGAGCUUCAGAAAAGCCACGAGUGACUGUUUGGUACACAAGUCCAUUAUAGCACGUCGUACUUUUCCAUUCUUUCAUUUGACUAAAUCACAGCUUUAGGAUAAAAUGAUGCGACAAAAAGAACCUUGUACAAAUGUAUUUAGUAUAAUGGCUGAAUGAGCUGACUCCAGGAGAAUCUUGCAUGUUCGAGCAAUUUUUUUUCUGGCUUUUCUUGACACUAAUUCUGUCUCUGGCUUCCUAUAACACAUAAAUGAUAUGGAAAUUAAAGCAUGAGUGAAGAUCAAACAAAAAGUCACAGUACUUGAACACUGUUAUUCUAACUUUCCUGGGUGAAGUAAUUUGUAUUAAAUUAUGCCAACUAAGCUACCCUAAACAAAUGUCAAUGUUGAAAACUAAAGACAAAAUACUAGACAACGAGGUGCUGGCUAAAGGAUUUCCAGGACAUUUUUCAGUUAAUAAGACACAUAAAUUUUCCAUACUUAGAAGACAAAGUUCAAAUCAGGAAGCCUCAAAGUACAAUAUUUAUGACAGGGAGCAAAUACACAAGCUGUCACUGGCAUUCCAUAACUUCCCUUUUUAUCACAUGCAUGUAAUGUUCACUAUAGUUCUUAUCUCUCUACUGAUAAGAAGCCUUUGCCAAGUAGAAGAUCCACUAACUUACCUGCUCCUAGCUGCAAAUGACAUCCUGCAACCCUUUCAAACUUAUCAGAAAAUAAUGGCCACAUAAUGAGGUUUGAAUAUAGCAAGGUUUGAAUGUAGCAAUAUAGCUACACUGGGUAUAAUCAUUCUCUUUGUGGAAUAAGAGUAUCAUAAAAGCACGUGAACAUAAAAAUUAUGAAAACAAGUAGAGAAACAUUAAAUAAUUCUGGAAAAGUACAUUGAACUGGGCAGUGGGCAUCUGAAUGUCAAGAUUUUUAAACUCAGAUAGCACACAUUCUUACAAAUUAUUACCCAAAUACUGCAGUCAAAUGAGAUUGUCUCAAUAUAUAAUGCCAUUCCCUUAUGUUUUGUACAGGGUUACUCAAAAAAGAUCCUUAGAAAAGGUUUCCACAGGCCUGGGACACGCUUAGAAUUUAGGUUCUACACUUUUCACUCAUACUGAAACAAGACACUGUGAAAAAAUAACUUUGGCCAUGUGACAGCAAAUUAAUGAGUCCUAUGAAUAAUGCAUCAACCAGAGUGAUAACAUUCUUGGCUUUAGUGGAACAAGACAGCAAUCUGGUGAAGAGCUAAAGCAUGUCAUGGACUACUUGCAAGUCCUCUUUACUUUCUAAAACUCUCCUCAGCUGUUUUGGGUGUAUUUUGGAAGGAACAGCAAACACUCCCAGCUGAAAUAGUUAUCACUUCUGCAGAUGUUGGGGGAUUUUCCUUCUGGGAAGAACUGGACUCAUAAGGUAGGAGCAGCUUGUAUCUUCAUGGAAGUUUCACUUGGAAUGCAGAUAUGCUAUGUUGUGAACUGGUAACCUGAAUAAGGGACACAGAUGUGCUCAGUGUAAAAUGUACAUUCAGUUUGUCUGACCUAAUUCUUCAGAGUCAGCCACAGCUGAGGUACCUCAGGAACAAAACAACCACACGAGGAGCCAGCUAAGGGCUUGCAAAUCCUCUUCAUUAUUCAUUAUAGAAUUAUACACAUACUUUUGGAGUUUAACCAAGCAACAAAUAGAUGAAAUGGUUUAAAGUAAAAUCUAUACUUACAUGUUGACAUGUCCUACAAGUCUUCCAGAACUGGGCCAAAAGCCAGUAAGAAAAGUUGCCCUCAUCAGGGACUCAUGUGCUCUGGUGCAGCUUUGUAAUACGUGUAGCAUGAGCUGGGAAAAUAGAUUUCCCAUUGUACAUGAAGACACGGCUCGCUUCUCAGUAACACUUCAUAACUGUAGGCUGUUCAAUUAAAGCUUGACUGCAACAGGACUCUUUUAGAUUGGCACCCUGCAUCCCUCAGAUUCACACAAGCACUGGAGUGCUGGCUGGAAGGGAUCUCUGGAUGCCUCUGGUCCUGUCCCCCACAGAGGACAGGGCUGUUGCCAGCCCUAGAUCAGAUCAGCUGCUGCUUUGCCGGGAUGAGUCCCAGGAACUUCCAAGGACAGAGAGUCCCUGACCACUCUGGUAACCUGUUCAGUGCUGCACCAGCCUCACAGUGAAGAAGGUUUUUCCGAAUGUUCCACCUGAACAUGCUGAGCUGCAGCAUGUGACUUCUGUCCCUCUUUAUACCACUUGCC